GCACAUGGCACAGGCAUAAAAAUUCUAAAGCAUCACUGGACUUCUGCCCUGCAGACCCAAACAUCCACUUCAAUGGUGUGUGUUCUUUUAAUGGCCGCCUUCCCACUGGAGGUUCUGAUCCACAGCAAUUUGAAAGGAGGAAUGAGUAAAACUGACUGUGGUGCCGAGAGAAGGAGUGCCCUUGACAAGGACACCAUGGCAGCCAUAUAUGUGGCAGUGAAGAAGAGGUUUCCCAAUGUGUCCAGAGGAGCUUUGGGGAUUGCAGUGAAUUCUAAGCUGGGGGAACUGAGA